rnacentral:rRNA from 1 species
GACGAACGCUGGCGGCGUGCUUAACACAUGCAAGUCGAACGAAGUGGCGAACGGGUGAGUAACGCGUAAUCAACCUGCCCUUCAGAGGGGGACAACAGUUGGAAACGACUGCUAAUACCGCAUACUGAAGGAGGGGAUUGCGUCUGAUUAGCUAGUUGGAGGGGUAACGGCCCACGAGGGCGAUGAUCAGUAUCCGGUGUGAGAGGAUUGACGGCCACAGUGGGACUGAGACACGGCCCAGACUGCCAAGGGAGGCAGCAGUGGGGAAUCUUCCGCAAUGGACGGAAGUCUGACGGAGCAACGCCGCGUGAGUGAUGACGGCCUUCGGGUUGUAAAGCUCUGUUAAUCGGGACGCGGUACCGGAAUAGAAAGCCACGGCUAACUACGUGCCAGCCGCCGCGGUAAUUC